ACGGCUCAGUAACACGUGGAUAACCUGCCCUUGGGUCCGGCAUAACCCCGGGAAACUGGGGAUAAUUCCGGAUAACGCACAUAUGCUGGAAUGCUUUAUGCGUAAAAUGGAUUCGUCUGCCCAAGGAUGGGUCUGCGGCCUAUCAGGUAGUAGUGGGUGUAAUGUACCUACUAGCCAACAACGGGUACGGGUUGUGAGAGCAAGAGCCCGGAGAUGGAUUCUGAGACAUGAAUCCAGGCCCUACGGGGCGCAGCAGGCGCGAAAACUUUACAAUGCGGGAAACCGUGAUAAGGGGACACCGAGUGCCAGCAUCAUAUGCUGGCUGUCCAGGUGUGUAAACUACACCUGUUAGCAAGGGCCGGGCAAGACCGGUGCCAGCCGCCGCGGUAACACCGGCGGCCCGAGUGGUGAUCGUGAUUAUUGGGUCUAAAGGGUCCGUAGCCGGUUUGGUCAGUCCUCCGGGAAAUCUGAUAGCUCAACUAUUAGGCUUUCGGGGGAUACUGCCAGGCUUGGAACCGGGAGAGGUAAGAGGUACUACAGGGGUAGGAGUGAAAUCUUGUAAUCCCUGUGGGACCACCUGUGGCGAAGGCGUCUUACCAGAACGGGUUCGACGGUGAGGGACGAAAGCUGGGGGCACGAACCGGAUUAGAUACCCGGGUAGUCCCAGCCGUAAACAAUGCUCGCUAGGUGUCAGGCAUGGCGCGACCGUGUCUGGUGCCGCAGGGAAGCCGUGAAGCGAGCCACCUGGGAAGUACGGCCGCAAGGCUGAAACUUAAAGGAAUUGGCGGGGGAGCAC
rnacentral:rRNA from 1 species